rnacentral:rRNA from 1 species
UAACACGUAGGUGACCUGCCCCGAAGUUUGGGAUAACACCUCGAAAGAGGUGCUAAUACCGGAUGUGACCACCGAUUCAUUUCGGUGCUUAAAGUCGCAAGACGCUUUGGGAGGGGCCUGCGGCGGAUUAGCUAGUUGGUGUGGUAACGGCACACCAAGGCUUCGAUCCGUAGCUGGUCUGAGAGGAUGGCCAGCCAGACUGGGACUGAGACACGGCCCAG